AUCAUGGCUCAGAUUGAACGCUGGCGGCAGGCCUAACACAUGCAAGUCGAACGGUAACAGGAAGCAGCUUGCUGCUUUGCUGACGAGUGGCGGACGGGUGAGUAAUGUCUGGGAAACUGCCUGAUGGAGGGGGAUAACUACUGGAAACGGUGGCUAAUACCGCAUAACGUCGCAAGACCAAAGAGGGGGACCUUCGGGCCUCUUGCCAUCAGAUGUGCCCAGAUGGGAUUAGCUUGUUGGUGAGGUAACGGCUCACCAAGGCGACGAUCCCUAGCUGGUCUGAGAGGAUGACCAGCCACACUGGAACUGAGACACGGUCCAGACUCCUACGGGAGGCAGCAGUGGGGAAUAUUGCACAAUGGGCGCAAGCCUGAUGCAGCCAUGCCGCGUGUAUGAAGAAGGCCUUCGGGUUGUAAAGUACUUUCAGCGGGGAGGAAGGUGUUGUGGUUAAUAACCACAGCAAUUGACGUUACCCGCAGAAGAAGCACCGGCUAACUCCGUGCCAGCAGCCGCGGUAAUACGGAGGGUGCAAGCGUUAAUCGGAAUUACUGGGCGUAAAGCGCACGCAGGCGGUCUGUCAAGUCGGAUGUGAAAUCCCCGGGCUCAACCUGGGAACUGCAUUCGAAACUGGCAGGCUUGAGUCUUGUAGAGGGGGGUAGAAUUCCAGGUGUAGCGGUGAAAUGCGUAGAGAUCUGGAGGAAUACCGGUGGCGAAGGCGGCCCCCUGGACAAAGACUGACGCUCAGGUGCGAAAGCGUGGGGAGCAAACAGGAUUAGAUACCCUGGUAGUCCACGCCGUAAACGAUGUCUACUUGGAGGUUGUGCCCUUGAGGCGUGGCUUCCGGAGCUAACGCGUUAAGUAGACCGCCUGGGGAGUACGGCCGCAAGGUUAAAACUCAAAUGAAUUGACGGGGGCCCGCACAAGCGGUGGAGCAUGUGGUUUAAUUCGAUGCAACGCGAAGAACCUUACCUGGUCUUGACAUCCACAGAACUUUCCAGAGAUGGAUUGGUGCCUUCGGGAACUGUGAGACAGGUGCUGCAUGGCUGUCGUCAGCUCGUGUUGUGAAAUGUUGGGUUAAGUCCCGCAACGAGCGCAACCCUUAUCCUUUGUUGCCAGCGGUUAGGCCGGGAACUCAAAGGAGACUGCCAGUGAUAAACUGGAGGAAGGUGGGGAUGACGUCAAGUCAUCAUGGCCCUUACGACCAGGGCUACACACGUGCUACAAUGGCGCAUACAAAGAGAAGCGACCUCGCGAGAGCAAGCGGACCUCAUAAAGUGCGUCGUAGUCCGGAUUGGAGUCUGCAACUCGACUCCAUGAAGUCGGAAUCGCUAGUAAUCGUGGAUCAGAAUGCCACGGUGAAUACGUUCCCGGGCCUUGUACACACCGCCCGUCACACCAUGGGAGUGGGUUGCAAAAGAAGUAGGUAGCUUAACCUUCGGGAGGGCGCUUACCACUUUGUGAUUCAUGACUGGGGUGAAGUCGUAACAAGGUAACCGUAGGGGAACCUGCGGUUGGAUCACCUCCUUACCUUAAAGAAGC
rnacentral:rRNA from 1 species